CGGUGACCUAGUAGCUUUCAAGUUUCUAGGGAAAGGUGUCUGGGAAGUCAGUGUGCAGGCAGAGCUAGAGGUUACUGGAGGAAACUGCAAGUUUUGCCACCAUCUUGGUCACGCUAAACGGAAGAGUAAGGAACCGAAACCUCAACUCAUUUUGGAGCUGGCCAGAGCUGCCAGUACUGUCGCAGAUGUUCCAUGUGGAAAGCAAAAGGCCCUUCCAACAGCCUGGAGGAAUAAUGCACAGGCACACCAGUGGCUGCAGUGAACACAGCAGUCAAUUUUAGAGAGUGAAGCAAAGACUAAAAACUGAAGAAAAGCAUGUUGUGUGGGCUCCUGUGCCUCCACAUUUCACCUGCAAACUAUUACCUUUGAGGAAUGACUACUUCUCACCUAAGCAGUUGUAAUCUAAGCCCAUGCACUCUGGGAAACAUUUUUUCCUUUGCAAAAGGUGUACAGCAGAGACACAAAAGCUUAUGUGCAUGUGCCAAGGCAAACAAACAAACAUCUUGAAAUCUGCAUCCCAGAGACUUCACUAUCUUUU